GAUGAACGCUGGCGGCGUGCCUAAUACAUGCAAGUCGAGCGAACAGACGAGGAGCUUGCUCCUCUGACGUUAGCGGCGGACGGGUGAGUAACACGUGGAUAACCUACCUAUAAGACUGGGAUAACUUCGGGAAACCGGAGCUAAUACCGGAUAAUAUAUUGAACCGCAUGGUUCAAUAGUGAAAGACGGUUUUGCGGUCACUUAUAGAUGGAUCCGCGCCGCAUUAGCUAGUUGGUAAGGUAACGGCUUACCAAGGCAACGAUGCGUAGCCGACCUGAGAGGGUGAUCGGCCACACUGGAACUGAGACACGGUCCAGACUCCUACGGGAGGCAGCAGUAGGGAAUCUUCCGCAAUGGGCGAAAGCUUGACGGAGCAACGCCGCGUGAGUGAUGAAGGUCUUCGGAUCGUAAAACUCUGUUAUUAGGGAAGAACAAAUGUGUAAGUAACUAUGCACGUCUUGACGGUACCUAAUCAGAAAGCCACGGCUAACUACGUG
rnacentral:rRNA from 1 species